rnacentral:rRNA from 1 species
AGCGGCAAGGCUUAACACAUGCAAGUCGAGGGGCAGCAUGAAGGUUAGCAAUAACCUUGAUGGCGACCGGCGCAAGGGUGCGUAACGCGUGAGCAACUUGCCCGUUUCAGGGGGAUAACCGGUGGAAACGCCGACUAAUACCCCAUAGUAUGGGGUUUAGGCAUCUUUAUCCAAUUAAAGAACUUCGGAAACGGAUAGGCUCGCGUGACAUUAGCUAGAUGGCGGGGUAACGGCCCACCAUGGCGACGAUGUCUAGGGGUUCUGAGAGGAAGGUCCCCCACACUGGAACUGAGACACGGUCCAGACUCCUACGGGAGGCAGCAGUGAGGAAUAUUGGUCAAUGGUCGAGAGACUGAACCAGCCAUGCCGCGUGAAGGUCACGGCCCUAUGGGUCUUAAACUUCUUUUGUAAGGGAGCAAUAAGUCUCACGUGUGGGAUGAUGAGAGUACCUUACGAAUAAGCAUCGGCUAACUCCGUG